CCAAAAUGACCCCCUCAAGGAUUGAGCUCACAACCCUGGGUUUAGCAGGCUAAUGCUCAAACCACUGAGCUAUCAUUCACCCUCCUAUAAGUCCCUUAUUCUCUUCCCCUCCUCCCUGAUGCCUCCCUCAAUACUGAGCUAUGCUUGGUGUAGGAACUGAGAAGAGAGGUAAAGAUGGGUUUGUUACUUUUGUACUUCCCAUAUUCUGGGAUUCCACUACCUAUGGCCACCAGUGGCUGUAAUGGUGUAGCCCACUGUAUAGAUCAUUGGCGUGUCAGGGGUUGCAGUAUAACAGAAUCAGGCCCACAGCGUUACAACAAAACAGAACAAUUAAUUCAAAAGACAGGCUUAUAUAGCACAAUUCUAGUUGAAAAAACAAAAGAUAGUCUUUCUGUUACAGGAGGACCAUUGAAUGGUGCCCUUUGUGUGCAUUUUGUGAUGCAAGAACGUAAAACACAGCUCUUGCUAAGUCUCCUUUCUUGCAGUUAUGCUAUUUGCAUUUGGCUUUGUAGGAGGUAGCAAUUAAACAAAAAUGUCAUAGAAAACCCCUCUUGGUAUUAGUGUAGUUAUCUGUGAAUGUAUUUUGAUUGUCACAUCAGCUGUGGAAAAAAGUGUCUCCGGAGUUCUGUAGUUUAAAAUGUGAUGUACAUAUCCCUGUUAUCACAUCACUCCAUAUGGUAUAUAUGAAGUUUUCAUGUUCACAGGACUAUGGCUUUUGCCAUUUUAAAACAAACACAGCAAAAAUAUGUGCACAGAACUUAGCAACAGAUUGUUGGAGGGAAGUGGCGAGAAAGCACAAUUGCACAAAGCUGGAUCUGGGAAUGUAGUCAGCCCUUUUUUGUGUCUCAUCUCAGAGUGUAAGAAGUGGCUCUGCCUCUGUCUGGAGAGUAAACCUUUUCGCAAAUCAGCAUGUAGUAAAGUAGCCAGUGAAAAACCCAUACCUCAUUAUCCUUUUACACUGGAUUACAAGUAGGAGUGUCACUGUUUUUGAAGAUUGUAAUACUGAUGAACACUCAGGCUCCAUUUCCCCAUCCCUCCAAUGAUACAAUAUUGUAGGCAACACUUAUUUUUAAAAAAAUACUUCGUAAAAUAACAACCAUAAAUCGUAAUUGUUUGGUUAAACUGAUACUCAAAAGCCAACACAUCUCUUUGGAGGUAUUGCUGCAUAACCAAGAAGUUACAGAUCUAUCAAUGCAAAGCUGAUUACCAUAAACUUAGAGAUAGUUGCUUAGGGCAGCAAAUUAUUUAGUGAUUUUUGUCUGGGGAGCUGUAGCCUGGAAGAAUGGAUGCUUUCAAUUUUAAGCAGGGAAGCUAAAGACCUAGAGUUAGCACUAUGUUCUCAGUCCUAAGAAUGAAAGGUAUAUAUGGGGACCACAAACACUAGAUAAGAUGACAUGUAGUUUGGCAUGCAACCUCUCAAAUGUAUCAAAUCAUCUGAGUUGGAACAGAAUUUGAGCAAUAAAGAGUGUGUUCCAUAUGGAACAGCUAACAAACAGAGAGAGAUUUAAAAGGAAUGUUCCACUAAAGUUUAUCAAGAAAAGCUUUUUCAGACACCUGUAUAUUUUGUGGUGGUCAGCUUUAUCACAAUUCAUCCAAAUUGGAGAUGAUGUAACUUUAACCAGAAUGUUGUUUUAUUCUCAAAGGAAUUAGAUAUGUUCCCUUUGUAAAUGGAAGAGAAUAUUAUAAAUCUUUUUAUUAAAAAAUGUAAAAAUGUAUAGCAGUAUUUUUUGAUUAUGUUAUAGAUAAUGGAUAUAUUGUUAUAAAUAAAGUAUUUUUGGGAAUAAAA